CAUGACUUUCAAUUCCGUAGUGCAUUGCAGUUUGAAUUUUAAAAAGUAAUUGCAAUCAUAGCGGAAUUGGUAGUUCUUUU
rnacentral:pre_miRNA from 1 species